rnacentral:rRNA from 1 species
CGAAAGCCUGACGGAGCAAUACCGCGUGGGGGAGGAAGGCCCUUGGGUUGUAAACCCCUUUUGUCAGGGAAGAACACAAUGACGGUACCUGACGAAUCAGCCUCGGCUAACUCCGUGCCAGCAGCCGCGGUAAGACGGAGGAGGCAAGCGUUAUCCGGAAUUAUUGGGCGUAAAGCGUCCGCAGGUGGCUCAUCAAGUCUGCUGUUAAAGCCCAGGGCUCAACCCUGGAGAAGCAGUGGAAACUGAUAGGCUAGAGUGCGGUAGGGGCAGAGGGAAUUCCCGGUGUAGCGGUGAAAUGCGUAGAGAUCGGGAAGAACACCAGUGGCGAAAGCGCUCUGCUGGACCGCAACUGACACUCAUGGACGAAAGC